rnacentral:rRNA from 1 species
CGAAUUCCAAGCUUCGCGGCCUAUCAGCUUGUUGGCGGGGUAACGGCCCACCAAGGCGACGACGGGUAGCUGGUCUGAGAGGAUGGCCAGCCACAUUGGGACUGAGAGACGGCCCAGACUCCUACGGGAGGCAGCAGUGGGGAAUCUUGCGCAAUGGUCUAACGACUGACGCAGCGACGCCGCGUGUGGGAGGACGCCUUUCGGGGUGUAAACCACUGUUGCCCGGGACGAACAGGUCUAUUCGUAGACCCUGACGGUACCGGGUGAGGAAGCACCGGCUAACUCCGUGCCAGCAGCCGCGGUAAUACGGAGGGUGCGAGCGUUGUCCGGAAUCAUUGGGCGUAAAGGGCGCGUAGGUGGCCCGGUCAGUCUUUGGUGAAAGCGCGGGGCUCAACCCUGCGUCGGCCAGGGAUACUGCCGCGGCUGGAGCACUGUAGAGGCAGGCGGAAUUCCGGGUGUAGCGGUGGAAUGCGUAGAGAUCCGGAAGAACACCGGUGGCGAAGGCGGCCUGCUGGGCAGUUGCUGACACUGAGGCGCGACAGCGUGGGGAGCAAACAGGAUUAGAUACCCUGGUAGUCCACGCCGUAAACGAUGGGCACUAGGCGCUUGGGGGAGCGACCCCCCGAGGGCCGGCGCUAACGCAUUAAGUGCCCCGCCUGGG